GAGUGAAAUCCAUAUUUUUAUAGUGUCCUGUUUAGUUUAUAUUAAAUUUAUUUUAAAACUAUUAAGAUUUAGGUUUAAACCAGGAUUAGAUACCCUGUUAUACUGAAAGUAAAAUGUAAUACGCUUGAGUAGUAAUAAGUUAUAAGCUCGAAACUUAAAAGAUUUGGCGGUAUUUAAGUCUAGUUAGAGGAACCUGCUUUAUAAACGAUAUGCCACGAAUUAUCUUACUUUAUUUUGUAUUCAAUUUGUAUACCUCCAUUUUUAAAUAAUAUUUUGAAGUAUUUUUUUAAAUAGAAAAAUUUCUAGUUUAUUAGGUCAAGGUGCAGUUUAUAAUAAAGUAAAUGUGGGUUACAUUAUAUUAUAUUAUCUAUGGAUGAGUAUAUGCAAUUAUAUUCUGAAAUUGGAUUUAAUAGUAUUCUUGAAUUAAUAAGUUAAGAUGAUAAUAGCUCUUUAAUAUGUACACAUCGCCCGUCGCUCUCAUUAUAAAGUGAGAUA
rnacentral:rRNA from 1 species